rnacentral:rRNA from 1 species
AUGCGGAGGUCGGACUGGGAGGACCGGUGCCGGCGGCACCCGGAGCACCGGCUGUCCAAGGGCGUGUGCCCGAGCUGCCUCCGCGACCGCCUCGCCCGCCUCUCCGCCAACUCCUCGGCCACCACCACCCUGACGCGCGCCUCAAACUCGGCCAGCACCUCCCCCUACUCCUCCACCGACUCCCCUCCGCUCCACCGCGCCGCCCUCUCCGCCGACGCCACCUCCGUCCACGUCGUCGGCGCCGGGGCGGGCUCCUCCUUCGUCAACGUCUCCGCCUUCUCGCAGCUGCUCAUGCCGACGGCCUCGAAGAAACCAGCAGAAUCCAAGGGAAAGGAGGGCGAGGCGAAGAAGAAGAAGAGCAGCAGCAAGAAGAAGAUCGGGAGGUUCUUGUCGAGGCUGGUCGGGACGGAGAAGCGGCGGAAAACAGGGGAAGCAGGCGAUGGCGGCGAGCUCUUCCAUUCCAGCACCAUGAAGGAGAAGUCGUCGACCAAGUGGGUUUUCUUUUGA